rnacentral:rRNA from 1 species
GUGGGGAAUAUUCCGCAAUGGACGAAAGUCUGACGGAGCAACGCCGCGUGAGUGAUGAAGGUUUUCGGACUGUAAAGCUCUGUUGUUUAGGACGAAAGUGCCUGUUGCAAAUAGUUACAGGUAUUGACGGUACUGAACGAGGAAGCCACGGCUAACUACGUGCCAGCAGCCGCGGUAAUACGUAGGUGGCAAGCGUUGUCCGGACUUAUUGGGCGUAAAGAGCAUGUAGGCGGAGAUUUAAGUCUGUUGUGAAAAUGCGGGGCUCAACCCCGUAUUGCGAUGGAAACUGAAUUUCUUGAGUGCAGGAGAGGAAAGGGGAAUUCCCAGUGUAGCGGUGAAAUGCGUAGAUAUUGGGAGGAACACCAGUGGCGAAGGCGCCUUUCUGGACUGUGUCUGACGCUGAGAUGCGAAAGCCAGGGUAGCGAACGGGAUUAGAAACCCGAGUAGUCC